GAUGAACGCUGGCGGCGUGCAUAAUACAUGCAAGUCGAGCGAAUGGAUUAAGAGCUUGCUCUUAUGAAGUUAGCGGCGGACGGGUGAGUAACACGUGGGUAACCUGCCCAUAAGACUGGGAUAACUCCGGGAAACCGGGGCUAAUACCGGAUAACAUUUUGAACCGCAUGGUUCGAAAUUGAAAGGCGGCUUCGGCUGUCACUUAUGGAUGGACCCGCGUCGCAUUAGCUAGUUGGUGAGGUAACGGCUCACCAAGGCAACGAUGAGUAGCCGACGUGGGAGGGUGAUCGGCCACACUGGGACUGAGACACGGCCCAGACUCCUACGGGAGGCAGCAGUAGGGAAUCUUCCGCAAUGGACGAAAGUCUGACGGAGCAACGCCGCGUGAGUGAUGAAGGCUUUCGGGUCGUAAAACUCUGUUGUUAGGGAAGAACAAGUGCUAGUUGAAUAAGCUGGCACCUUGACGGUACCUAACCAGAAAGCCACGGCUAACUACGUGCCAGCCGCCGCGGUAA
rnacentral:rRNA from 1 species